UAAUGGUGCCACUAACAAUUGUCCAUUUGUGAGUGAGGAUUUUGAAAAGAGGAGAAGAGAAUUCGAGGCGCUGCGGAAAAGGGUUGGUAGUCCCAAAGCUCUGCCCUCGUUUCCUUCGCCGCUCUCUCUUCUCUUCAAGCUCUGUGAUUCCUCUUCAUCUCAUGGCGCCGCCACCUUCUUCUCUUUCUCUUCACAUUCCCAAUCUUGUUGCUGUUGUUGUUGUUGUUGUUGUUGUUGCUGUUGCUUCUCUUUCUCUUGUCUCGCUUUGGAGGCAAUGACGAUGCCCUAAUCACCUUCCAAUGCGAAGGUGUGUGUGAUGUCUCCAUCAGUUGAUGGAUUCCUCUUCUUUCCUGCUCCUCUCUUCUCUCUCUAUGCAGCGAUGGUGUAGUGGCUCGGAUGGCUUGCUCUUCAGCAGGCAACCGCUGCUACCGUUCUCGUAGAGGGAGGGGUUGGUGUGGUGUGGGAGAAGAGGAGGGGUCUUGGUGAUAUCAUGGAUUAAUGGCGAAUCUGAGCCUCUUCUCUGUGAUUCUAUAAGGUUGCUCAAGCUCGGCUCAUUCAGAGCCCUAACUAUUUCUCUGCUUAACUACUACUAGUACUACUGCCAAUGAUGAUGAUGCUGCUGCUGCUGCUGCUGAUGAUGAUACUUAUUAAUCGCAAUGCUGCGCUCUUGUGUUCGCUUGGCUGUGAUGAUUUGCCCUAGAAGAGUCUCGACAUCGAGUGGCGUGGCAGCUACUGCUGCAGUCCUUGAUUCAGUUGUUUAUCUCUGAUAAAAAAAAAGGUCAGAUCUGAGCCUCCUCCUCCUCCUCCUCCUCCUCUUCCUCUCCCUCUCUCUCUCUCUCUCUCUAUAUAUAUAUAUAUAUAUAUACAUAUGAUAAAUGUGGGGCGAGCCACGAGCCUCAACCAUGAAGUUGGGAGGGGCUUGAACUCGCGACCUUUGAACUCUUUGCUGCUACUGCUACUACUAGCAUGAUGAAGAUGACGGUGAUGAUAACGAUGAUGUUGCCAUUAUAAAUGCCAAUGCUGCACUCUUUCUUUUGCGUGGCUGUGAUGAUUUGACAUAGAAGAGUCUCAAGAUCGAGUGGCGUGGCAGCCACUGCUGCAGCCCUUGAUUCAGUGUUUAUCUCUGAGCCUCUUGCUUCUUGGUUCCUCUAAAAAUGAUGAAGGAAAAGAAAGGAAGGCAAUGCUAUCAAAAUAAAUAAAUAAAUAAAUAAAAAAAUCAUCCAAGGUGAGCACUAUGGCUAGCUGUGAUGAUUUGACCUCAAAGUGUAUUAGGUUUAAAUGGCGGGGCAGCUUAAGGUGAGGGGUGAUUCUCCAUGCCGCUUCUGCAGCCAUCCCUAAUUCUUGUUUCGGCAUUUUGCUUGAUUCAAGGUCAGAUCUGAGCUUGACAUAUUGCCUUCUCCUUGUCAUGCUUCCACUGCUUCUUUUAUUGUCUCUCUGUCUGUCUGUGUGUAUGUGUGUGUGUAUAUAUAUAUAUAUAUGUUUGUAUGACAUCUCUAUCCUUGAGUUGUCUUCUUUGUUGCUUUCUUAUCUCUUUGUAGCAAUGGUGAAGCAGUUUGGAUGGUCUGCUUCUCUGCAGGAAACCACUGCUCCUGUUCUUCUGGAGAUAAUUGGGGCCAAAGAAGAGGGCUCUUGGUGGUAGGAUGGAUUAAUGGUGCUCACAUGCACCUCGUUUGCAGCCUUUCUGGUGGUGGUCAUGUUGGUGGUGGUGUUGGUGAUGAGGCUUAGUUCUCUUGCAAUGGCAAUGUUGUUAGCCAUGUCUCAAUGAGGCUAUGAUGAUUGCCCAAAUGGCCUUACAAGAGUCUCUAGAUCAAGUGGCGUGGCAGCUAUUGCUGCAGUCCUUGAUUUAGUGUUCAUCUCUGAUAGAAAGGGUUACAUCUGAGCCUCUUGUUUCUUGUUUCGUUUGAACAAAAUGAAGCAAAAGAAUAGAGACAAUAUUGUUGACAACAAGAACAAGAGCAACAAGGAUAAUAAUAAUAAUGAUAAUAAUAAUAAGUCAAAUGAGGUCAGCAUUAGAUUUCAGGCCAGAAGAAGGUUUGCUUAUCUGCAAGCCCUAUAAGUUUUCCUAGUUUAUGACUUCAUUUUCUGAGGUUGUGAUGAUUUGUCCUCAAGUUUCGGGUUUAAAAUGGCGUGGCAGCCCUGGUGACCUGCAAAUCCACAGGUCACCACUGCAGCCAUCUUUGAUUCUGGUUCUUGAAUUGUGUUUGAUGAAAAGGACUGAAUCUGAACCUCUCUCUAGUCCCUCUCAUAAGGAACUGAUUGCAACCAAAGCUAAAAAAGGUAGCCAACGACCUUCGGGUCUAUUGGUAUACGGGUCGCCGAUAGAGGUCUCACCACUCGUCGAUUCUUGGCUGAGGGCACAUUUCUGGGAGUUAUGAAUAGUGAUUGUGUAUGGGUGGUUCCAGCGCCCACGUGUGUUCGGCCCCGUCCUCACUUAUUCCACCGAGGCUUGUGCACAUCCCUGGGUCUCUAGUGAGUUCUCCCCGCUCCUCUUUCAAAAAGCGCUAAAAAAGGCAUCGAAUGAUGACAAAUGAUAUUGUAAAGGAAGAGAAUUAACACUCCCAUCCCUAAUUAGAGGUUGAGGGUUUGAGGAGGGUUGUCCAUGUCGCUCACAAACGAAACAAUGAGGAAGGGAAGGGGAAGUAUUUUCUAUUGCCUGGUUGCAUGAAGGGAACAAGAUGCGUCUUCAAAUGAAUAAAUAAUGAUUGGAGUCUACGUUUUUACUAGAUGACAACAAUAACACAAUAAAGACUACAUGAUUCAAUCUUAAACAUAAAGCUUUAUAAGGGUAUGUAGGCAAAACAUAAAUUUUAUCUGGUUUAUAUAUAUAUAGAUAGAUAGAUAUAUGCAAGUAAACCACUUUAGUGGUUUGCAUAGUCCAAUAUGUAAAGGCACCGUGUAUGUUUAUAAUGUCGACUCAGGUGAAAAUAACAAUUCAAAGCUGGUGCAUGCAUUUCAUUCCAUCCAUUUCAUUUUUCCAAACAUGACUUUUGUGUUCCUUCAUCUUCAUCUUAUUUCUUGUCUCCAUUUAUGGUGUGAAGGGGCUGUGAUGAUUCCCCUGAAACCAACUUUGUGUUGGAUUGAAGGAAAAGAGAAAGUCCAUGGCUUUUUUACUUGUCACCCCUGAAAAAUAGUGAACUUACCAAACACCCCCUUAAUCUGUAGAAAUAUGAAAAACCUGAAAUUGGAAUGGAGAUGGAUGGCGAGGCACAUGAAGGCUGGCUAGAGUUUGCUGGCUACCAUCUGCAGCCAUUAUCAUCUUAUUGGUAGCAGGGUGAAACUGAGCCUCUUUUUCAUUUUCUGGUAUGAGUUCUGCAUUAACCUAAUAAGUAAUGGUUAUGAAAAGUUUGAUACUGCCUCUAUCAUUUUAGGAGGCAACAACACUAUAGUUCUCUGAUUUAGGCAACUGAUUAUCUUAGUCUUUCUGAAGUUUUCUCCUCCAGAGUAUGUUGUUUAAUUGGCAUCUCAGUCAGUGUAGUUUGGCAUUGUGCUGUCUGCAUUGCAUUGCCAUAAAAGUCCACAUAGGGUGGGGUUCCAAAAUUGUUGCUAUUGAGACUGCGAACAAGUUUGCCAUGUUCUUUUUCAAGAUUGCAGUUGGAGAUGGGAUCAAUCAAAGUGGUUAUAUUUAGUAGAAAGAGCUAAAUGAAGACUUGCCCAAAUUUGUGAUAACAGCUAUGGCAUACCAAGAGGAUCUGUGGCUUAGCACAGUUUUGGCUGUUGUUUCAGCACAUGAGAUAACAUUCAGGCAAGCCUAAAGAAAAUCUCAAGGGAAAUCACUGCUGUUUAACAUAGGUGGGGGUUCAAGUGACGUUUUAUCUUAGUGACCGUGUGAGAUUGUGCUUGAUCAAGUGAUUGGUCAAUAAUAUAUACCAAGAAGUGAUGCAAUCUCAAAUCAGUGUUAUUAUUCACAUGAUUUUUGUCUAAAUGUUUUUUGUUUUUCUCAGGGCAAUUUUAUGCUGCAAAUGGCAGGCAGUGCUUCAGACACCCUUCCAUGUUUGAAGAAUUUUACCUUGAUGCUUGAUAUCUUAAUUUUGAUGUCUGGGUUUGGGAUCCAGGUUUUCCUGUACUUUGUUAUGCUGGUCUAUCUCUCAAUUACAGGUUGAUUAAAUGGUCACUGAUGGCUUUGUUUUUAUCUCAGCAUGUUUUUGUUUUUGAAAUGAACUAUUAAUCUGACUCAAUCCAUUCUCAUUCUCAUUAUUA